rnacentral:rRNA from 1 species
GACGAACCGUCCAAACGUUAUUCGGAUUUACUGGGCUUAAAGGGUGCGUAGGCGGCCUGACAAGUUGGGUGUGAAAUACCUCGGCUCAACCGAGGAACAGCGCUCAAAACUGUCGGGCUUGAGGAAGAUAGAGGUGAGCGGAACUUAAGGUGGAGCGGUGAAAUGCGUUGAUAUCUUAAGGAACACCCGUGGCGAAAGCGGCUCACUGGAUCUUUUCUGACGCUGAGGCACGAAAGCUAGGGGAGCGAACGGG